rnacentral:rRNA from 1 species
UGAGGAAUAUUGGACAAUGGAUGGAAAUCUGAUCCAGCCAUGCCGCGUGCAGGAAGACGGCCCUAUGGGUUGUAAACUGCUUUUGUAUGGGAGCAAUAAGGUCUAUGCGUAGACUGAUGAGAGUACCAUACGAAUAAGCAUCGGCUAACUCCGG